AACUGUGAAAAUAUUCUACACACUGAACAAGUCCCAUGCGGUUUGAUCUCGGAAGCUAAGAGGGUAGGGCCUGGUUAGUGCUUGGAUGGGAGACCACCUGGGAAGACCAGGUGCUGUAGGUA
rnacentral:rRNA from 1 species